CAGUAGCCGCGGGAAUACGGAGGGGGCUAGCGUUGUUCGGAAUUACCGGGCGUAAAGCGCACGUAGGCGGCUUGGUAAGUUAGAGGUGAAAGCCUGGAGCUCAACUCCAGAAUUGCCUUUAAGACUGCCGAGCUAGCAGGUGAGAGAGGUAAGUGGAAUUCCGAGUGUAGAGGUGAAAUUCGUAGAUAUUCGGAAGAACACCAGUGGCGAAGGCGACUGACUGGACAAGUAUUGACGCUGAGGUGCGAAAGCGUGGGGAGCAAACAGGAUUAGAUACCCGUGUAGUCCCUGUCUCUUAUAC
rnacentral:rRNA from 1 species